GCGUCGGUGGUCCAAUGGUUAAGAUUCGACAUUCCCAAUGUCGAGACCCGGGUUCGAUUCCCGGCCGACGCA
rnacentral:tRNA from 5 species